rnacentral:lncRNA from 1 species
UGAUAUAUCAAAAAAAAUGAAAGAGUUAAUAAUGGUGGUGUCCGCAAGUCCACGAGUCAAAUUGUAAUAUAGUUUGUAUAAUGAAACACUUGGAAGUGUUCCGAGUAUCGUACCCAAGGAAGAUGGAAUAAAUAAUGAAAAUGUUUUUACAAUAACAAGUUUAAGUAGUAGUAAUUAGUUCCUAUAUUACGAUUAACAAUAAAAUAGUUUGAAGAGAUAAAAAUAAAUAACGAAAAAAAUAAUAAAGAAAAAUAAACAAAUGUAAUAAAAUAAAUCAAUCAAGAAAAUUAACUCGCUCUAAGGUUUGCAACUAACUUCGAGUUAGGGUUUUAGAGUGGAUUAAGCAUCGAUUAAUCAAUUAUUAUCUCCCGGCC